rnacentral:rRNA from 1 species
AAUGAACGUUGGCGGCGUGGAUUAGGCAUGCAAGUCGAACGAGAUCUGUAGCAAUACAGUGAAAGUGGCGAAAGGGAGAGUAAUACGUAGGUACCUGCCCCCGGGUCUGGGAUAGCUGCGGGAAACUGCAAUUAAUACUGGAUGACGUCUCUGGACCAAAGGUGUGAUUCCGCCAGGGGAUGGGCCUGCGUCCUAUCAGCUAGUUGGUGUGGUAAUGGCGCACCAAGGCAAGGACGGGUACGGGGUGUGAGAACAUGCCCCCGCUCACUGGGACUGAGAUACUGCCCAGACACCUACGGGUGGCUGCAGUCGAGAAUCUUCCGCAAUGGGCGCAAGCCUGACGGAGCGACGCCGCGUGUGGGAUGAAGGCCUUCGGGUUGUAAACCACUGUCAGUGGGGAGCAAAUGCACCAGGGUUCUCCCUGGUGUUUGAGCGAUCCGCAGAGGAAGCACAGGCUAAUUCCGUGCCAGCCGCCGCGGUAA